UUAUUUUUCCCCACUGCUGCAUGUGGCCAGGGAUUUUUAUCUGUUUUAUUUGCUGCUACAUUUUGGCAUCAGAAUCACACCUGAUAUACAAAAAAUAUUUCUGUGGCCUUCUCUGCUUCACCUCCUCCAUUUAACUUCUCAGUAGGAGUUCUUCAGAAAAGUUGAUGAGACUGAAUGAGUGAAUGGAAAAGAACCCAUUGGCUGAGAGUCAAAGAAGGAUGGUUUGCCAUUCCAGCUGCUCCAACUAAGACUUCCGAGGUUCAGUCUAGAGAGAAAUCAAGUCCUGUGUUUCCCGGGUUCACCUUGAACAAGUCACCACUUUAUCCCUCCACAUCACUCUCGUUUUAGCAAUAAAAUAUCAAGUAAAA